UACGAGGGGGGCUAGCGUUGCUCGGAAUCACUGGGCGUAAAGCGCACGUAGGCGGAUCUUUAAGUCAGAGGUGAAAUCCCAAGGCUCAACCUUGGAACUGCCUUUGAUACUGGGGAUCUCGAGUCCGGAAGAGGUGAGUGGAACUGCGAGUGUAGAGGUGAAAUUCGUAGAUAUUCGCAAGAACACCAGUGGCGAAGGCGGCUCCCUGGUCCGGUACUGACGCUGAGGUGCGAAAGCGUGGGGAGCAAACAGG
rnacentral:rRNA from 1 species